UGGGGAAUUUUGGACAAUGGGCGAAANCCUGNUCCAGCAAUGCCGCGUGUGUGAAGAAGGCCUUCGGGUUGUAAAGCACUUUUGUCCGGAAAGAAAUCCUUGGCUCUAAUACAGUCGGGGGAUGACGGUACCGGGAAAAAAUUAAGCACCGGCUAACUACGUGCCAGCAGCCGCGGUAAUACGUAGGGUGCAAGCGUUAAUCGGAAUUACUGGGCGUAAAGCGUGCGCAGGCGGUUUGCUAAGACCGAUGUGAAAUCCCGGGGCUCAACCUGGGAACUGCAUUGGUGACUGGCAGGCUAGAGUAUGGCAGAGGGGGGUAGAAUUCCACGUGUAGCAGUGAAAUGCGUAGAGAUGUGGAGGAAUACCGAUGGCGAAGGCAGCCCCCUGGGCCAAUACUGACGCUCAUGCACGAAAGCGUGGGGGAGCAAACAGGAUUAGAUACCCUGGUAGUCCACGCCCUAAAACGAUGUCAACUAGUUGUUGGGGGACUUCAUUUUCCUUAGUAACGUAGCUAACGCGUGAAGUUGACCGCCUGGGGAGUACGGUCGCAAGAUUAAAACUCAAAUGAAUUGACGGGG
rnacentral:rRNA from 1 species